CCUACGGGAGGCAGCAGUGGGGAAUAUUGGGCAAUGGGCGCAAGCCUGACCCAGCAACGCCGCGUGAAGGAAGAAGGCUUUCGGGUUGUAAACUUCUUUUGUCAGGGACGAAGCAAGUGCCGGUACCUGACGAAUAAGCCACGGCUAACUACGUGCCAGCAGCCGCGGUAAUACGUAGGUGGCAAGCGUUAUCCGGAUUUACUGGGUGUAAAGGGCGUGUAGGCGGGGAGACAAGUCAGAUGUGAAAACCACGGGCUCAACCUGUGGCCUGCAUUUGAAACUGUUGUUCUUGAGUGCUGGAGAGGCAAUCGGAAUUCCGUGUGUAGCGGUGAAAUGCGUAGAUAUACGGAGGAACACCAGUGGCGAAGGCGGAUUGCUGGACAGCAACUGACGGUGAGGCGCGAAAGCGUGGGGAGCAAACAGGAUUAGAUACCCGAGUAGUC
rnacentral:rRNA from 1 species